rnacentral:rRNA from 1 species
AGAGUUUGAUCAUGGCUCAGAACGAACGCUGGCGGCAGGCUUAACACAUGCAAGUCGAACGCCCCGCAAGGGGAGUGGCAGACGGGUGAGUAACGCGUGGGAACGUACCUUUCAGUUCGGAAUAACUCAGGGAAACUUGUGCUAAUACCGGAUACGCCCGCAAGGGGAAAGAUUUAUCGCUGAAAGAUCGGCCCGCGUUGGAUUAGCUAGUUGGUGGGGUAAAGGCCUACCAAGGCGACGAUCCAUAGCUGGUCUGAGAGGAUGAUCAGCCACACUGGGACUGAGACACGGCCCAGACUCCUACGGGAGACAGCAGUGGGGAAUAUUGGACAAUGGGCGAAAGCCUGAUCCAGCCAUGCCGCGUGUGUGAUGAAGGCCCUCGGGUUGUAAACCGCUUUCAGUAGGGAAGAAAAUGACGGUACCUACAGAAGAAGCCCCGGCCAACUACGUGCCAGCAGCCGCGGUAACACGUAGGGGGCGAGCGUUGUCCGGAUUUAUUGGGCGUAAAGAGCUCGUAGGCGGUUUCGUAAGUCGGAUGUGAAAACUCCAGGCUCAACUUGGAGACGCCAUUCGAUACUGCGAUGACUAGAGUCCGGUAGGGGAGUGUGGAAUUCCUGGUGUAGCGGUGAAAUGCGCAGAUAUCAGGAGGAACACCGGCGGCGAAGGCGGCACUCUGGGCCGGUACUGACGCUGAGGAGCGAAAGCGUGGGUAGCAAACAGGAUUAGAUACCCUGGUAGUCCACGCCGUAAACGAUGAUCACUAGCUGUUGGCGAUACACCGAUCAGCGGCAAAGCAAAAGCAUUAAGUGAUCCACCUGGGGAGUACGGCCGCAAGGCUGAAACUCAAAGGAAUUGACGGGGGCCCGCACAAGCGGAGGAACAUGUGGUUUAAUUCGAUGAUACGCGAGGAACCUUACCUGGGCUUAAAUGUAGAGUGCAUUGAGAGGAAACUUUCAUUUUCUUCGGAACUCUUUACAAGGUGCUGCAUGGUUGUCGUCAGCUCGUGCCGUGAGGUGUCGGGUUAAGUCCCAUAACGAGCGCAACCCCUAUUACCAGUUACAAGUGUCUGGCGAAACUGCCGGUGUAAACCGAGAGGAAGGUGGGGAUGACGUCAAAUCAGCGUGGCUCUUACGCCUUGGGCGACACACGUGCUACAAUGGGAUGUUACAAAGGGACGCCAAGGAGUAGUCCGGAGCAAAUCCUAUAAACCAUCCCCCAGUUCGGAUUGAGGGCUGCAACUCGCCCUCAUGAAGCCGGAAUCGCUAGUAACCGUAGAUCAGCCUCGCUACGGUGAAUACGUUCUCGGGUUUUGUACACACCGCCCGUCAAGCCAUGGAAGUGGGUAGCGGAUGAAGCGUCCAUUUAUUUGGGCUCCAAUCCGAGACUCGUAACUGGGGCUAAGUCGUAACAAGGUA